UUGCAUUUCCCAAUACCAAUGGACUUUUGUGCCCAUUAUAAAUGCUCCAGCUUCUCACGAACUAACUCACUAACUAACUUACAAGUUAACAAUUGUGUUACAUAAUCGUGACAUGCGUUGCUUGGCGCCGGGCUGGAGCAAAUGAAAAUUUCUGACAGGGGCAUGCCAACCAGAUUGUCCUUCCACCAUAGCGCGUCGUCCAGAGGAAUCAGAGAACCGUCCUGGGGAUUUUGGCUAAAUUGUCUGCAGAGUCUCCCUUGAUUCAGAAAAGCUUGUUGUUGUUUUUGUUUUUGUCGCUGUUUGUCCUCUUCAAUAAUACGGUUACCGCUCUCUCUCUACUGCAGGUACAGCCGUGUUGUACAGAACUUAAAGAAGGCACUUAAUCGCAAAUAAAACCAAAACAAGUGCUCCUUUGGGCGAUUCGCCCAGCAGCACGUGAGUCCAAAAAAAAAGGAAAAGAAAAUUAUACGAGGCGAAAGAAAAUUACACACAGAACGCAUAGAUUACAGGGAUGGAUGAUUGGAAAAGGGCGUGGUACGAGAGCCAUUGCUUCACAACCCAGUCUACCUGUCUAGAUGACUCCGUAAGCGAUGCCGGAUUAUGAUUCAGACAAUUCAAAGAGAACCACAGGUGCCAGCAGUCAAGUAUAGAUUUAAUUCCUAAAAAAAAAAGAGAAGAAGUAAAGAAGAAAAAAAAGGCAGAAACUGAAAAACUUAACAGCAACAACAACCACACCAAUACAAUGAGCACAAAGGGAAAAGCGGCAAAAAAAAAACAAAAAAAAGGAAAGAAAAAAGAAAAAAAUGCCUCGUCAUUGCAGGCGCAAAUCACCAAUCAUUGAAAUCAUCAGGCUGGGCUGAUGUGUGCAUCGUAAGACAACAAGAAACAAAAAACAGGGGGCAAAAAGCAAACAUAUCAUUAGCUUGCGUGUUCGCAGCAGCUUCCAAGAACCUGCGACGGCUGAUUCGACGAGAUCCCUUGUCCCUUGCAUUGUGGUGCAGCCACUGAAAUACGAUGGGAUGGUCGGUGACGGUUGCCCAGCAGCCGCCGGGCUAAGGAACCCAGAGGGAAUACGGGCCCAUUACC
rnacentral:sRNA from 1 species